CAGUCGCCGCGGUAAUACGGAGGAUCCAAGCGUUAUCCGGAAUCAUUGGGUUUAAAGGGUCCGUAGGCGGUCUUGUAAGUUAGUGGUGAAAGCCCAUCGCUCAACGGUGGAACGGCCAUUGAUACUGCAGGACUUGAAUUAUUGGGAAGUAACUAGAAUAUGUAGUGUAGCGGUGAAAUGCUUAGAGAUUACAUGGAAUACCAAUUGCGAAGGCAGGUUACUACCAAUUGAUUGACGCUGAUGGACGAAAGCGUGGGUAGCGAACAGGAUUAGAUACCCCUGUAGUCCCUGUCUCUUAUAC
rnacentral:rRNA from 1 species